UAUGAAGGGUGUUAGCGUUAAUCGGAAUUACUGGGCGUAAAGCGCGCGUAGGUGGUUCGUUAAGUUGGAUGUGAAAGCACCGGGCUCAACCUGGGAACUGCAUCCAAAACUGGCGAGCUAGAGUAUGGCAGAGGGUGGUGGAAUUUCCUGUGUAGCGGUGAAAUGCGUAGAUAUAGGAAGGAACACCAGUGGCGAAGGCGACCACCUGGGCUAAUACUGACACUGAGGAGCGAAGGCGUGGGGGGCAAACAGGAUUAGAUACCAGCGUAGUCC
rnacentral:rRNA from 1 species